AGUGAACGCUGGCGGCGUGCCUAAUACAUGCAAGUCGAACGGAGUGGCGCACGGGUGAGUAAUAUAUAGCUAAUCUGCCCCUUGCUGGAGGAAUACCGUCAGAAAUGACUGCUAAUACUCCAUGCAAGUGAUGAGACUAUAUCGUAUCAGCUAGUCGGUGGGGUAACGGCCUACCGAGGCUAUGACGCGUAACUGGUCUGAGAGGAUGAUCAGUCACACUGGAACUGAGACACGGUCCAAACUCCUACGGGAGGCAGCAGUGGGGAAUCUUCCGCAAUGGACGAAAGUCUGACGGAGCAACGCCGCGUGAGUGAUGACGGCCUUCGGGUUGUAAAGCUCUGUUGUUAGAGAAGCGGUAUCUAACCAGAAAGCCACGGCUAACUACGUGCCAGCAGCCGCGGUAAUUC
rnacentral:rRNA from 1 species